UCUACUGGAGAUGUACUGGAGCGAAAUUGGAGAGGGCAGGGAAUGCCGUGCUACAACCUUUGAGAAAGUCGCUCUGCGCUCCAGUCAAAUUGGGUACGCUUCUCGCUCCAGCUUCAGGUCUAGAGUGUUUUAAGCUCCAGAGGCCCUAUGCAAAAUGUGAUGGUCACUUUCAGUAGCCUUAAACUAGUGAAUGUUUUUGGACUUUGUAGAAACACAAGUCAUGGAAACGUUGAGAGAGAUAUCACUGCACAUGGAUACUACACUGGAUUUUGGCGGCACAGCAGGAGUUAAGUUUAUUCCGGGUCGAUACUGAACAAUAUAUAUACCGCAGAUCAUCUGAAAAUGAUGUUAAAUUUUUCCGUACGGUGUGCCACAAGCGCAUGAAGCUAAAGGUGGAGAGAUGGACAAAGUUGGAUCCACAAAAAAGGUUUUGCAGACCAUGAAGGAACCAUGAAGAUAUUCACAUCCAAGAAAAUGCAUUAUAUUCCUUUCAUCUGAUAAGAAUGGAACUCUCCUGAUAUUCUAUAGCAUACUCAUUAUUAGGCAUGUUAUUCUUUUACACCCUCUUUUUUCUGUUCUAAAGAGCUGUUCCACUUUUAAAGCUAAACAUAUGUGUUUAAGGCUGAUGACACAAUGAACACUAAGUCAAUACCAAAGUGUGUCUCUCUUAUUUCUGUUGCUACAUAAGCCCUUCCAUUACUCAUAAAACACCACUGCUACCUUACUAGCUACUCUCUGGUCAGAAAACUGGUUUAACAGUAAAUCUGAUUUAACAGAAACACACAGACAUUUACAUAAGGCCAAUAUUUGAUUGUUGUACUUUACACCAUUUGUUCACUAAGUCUGCUUGUGACAAUAAAAA